GAGGCGGAAUCCCAUUGGCCAGUUGGGGAAGCCCCUCCCAGGAUUCCUGGCGCUCCGCCUUCCCUGAAGCCUAUAAAAGCGCAGGUCCCCGCCUCGGCAGCCACGGGACACCUGCAUCUGCCAACAAGACUGGAAGCAGGCUGGUUUGCAGGUUGGCGCAUGGACAUUUUCCCAGAAAGGGACAGAGACGGCGAAGUUUGACGGUCUGGAAAGCAGAGACCAGCAGGGCUGACUGCUUGGGAGCACCAAAUAUCCGGACAGCGCCUCUCGGGAGGUCCGAGAAGAGAACCGCGAUCUGUUUCAGCACCGGGGCUCAGGACAGUUCCCAGCGGGCUCCGUUUCGUCUCCAGAACCCUGGACAGCUCCUCCAGACUUCGGUGAGAAACCUUGUGCCAAGCAUUUUACAUACAUCAUAUCAUGCCAUCUUCAACCCUAGGACAUGGGUGUUACUGUGCCCAUGUGACAUUUGGGGAACCCAAGGCCCUGAGAAAGGCAGAAAAAUAACCCACGCAGGGACUCUCAGCCCACAAGUGAAGCUGAGAACCGGGAAUGGAAAACAGGGAGGCAGCACAGAGGCAGGAAACUCAGGUGUCAUAGCUUGGCUCAGCUUGGAAUGCACUCCCUCCACCUCCAACCAGAGCUCCCCACAACUGACCCUGCCUUCUUCUGCAAGCUCCAUUUCAUCAAGGGAAACGAUCCUUAUUGCCUCACCAUUUCCCACGUGAAGUCUGUAUUGACAUUCUCAUAGACCUGGGAUAUUGUGUCUGCAGCACAUAGUCCAAUUAUUUUCAUGUUAUCUACUGACAGGUCUAUUUGUCUCCCUGUUACACUGUGAGCUCCGUGAGGGCAGAAACAAUGUUAGUAUUUUCACUGCUGUGUCCCCAGCGCCUGGUCCGGGGCCCGGCACACAGCAGGCAUAUAAUAAGCAUGUGUUGAAUCAAUAAAGGCAUCAAAGAAUAAACCAAUACAUCAAUCAAUAAA
rnacentral:lncRNA from 1 species